GACGAACGCUGGCGGCGUGCUUAACACAUGCAAGUCGAACGGAAAGGCCCUGCUUUUGUGGGGUGCUCGAGUGGCGAACGGGUGAGUAACACGUGAGUAACCUGCCCUUGACUUUGGGAUAACUUCAGGAAACUGUGGCUAAUACCGGAUAGGAGCUCCUGCUGCAUGGUGUGGGUUGGAAAGUUUCGGCGGUUGGGGAUGGACUCGCGGCUUAUCAGCUUGUUGGUGGGGUAGUGGCUUACCAAGGCUUUGACGGGUAGCCGGCCUGAGAGGGUGACCGGCCACAUUGGGACUGAGAUACGGCCCAGACUCAUACGGGAGGCAGCAGUGGGGAAUAUUGCACAAUGGGCGGAAGCCUGAUGCAGCAACGCCGCGUGCGGGAUGACGGCCUUCGGGUUGUAAACCGCUUUCGCCUGUGACGAAGCGUGAGUGACGGUAAUGGGUAAAGAAGCACCGGCUAACUACGUG
rnacentral:rRNA from 1 species